rnacentral:lncRNA from 1 species
GUCAAGACAUAACUUCCAAUGCCAAUGAAUGAUGCAAUGCACUUGGCAUGUUGCAAUAAAAUUAAUAAAUCACCAAUGAUACUCCGACUUCAAAUUCAGGUUUGUGGGCUAGCCACAAAUAACAAUAUAAAAUAAUACCAUCACCAUAAAUACUUAAAUGAGACCACAAUUUAACUAAGACUAAAUAUACCAAAAUCAUAAAUUUUAGAUAUGAGAGGGAUGACAUUCUUAUAGACAAUAAACUGUAGGUGAUAAAAAUAACAAGCCAAAACGGUAGCAAACCACCGCUACAUUCACUUGCCUCUUUACCGAAGGAGAACAAAAGCACUAGCGAUGUUCCGAAGUGCUACCACCUGAUCACAAAUACUACUCAGUACAUACACCAACAUACAAGCAAGAGUAAGAACAAGUACGCACUAAAGCGCCCCAAACCCGACAUUCAAGCCUCUACCGUUUGCGCCACCGAUCAAGACAGCAGCACCGACUCUUCUCUUUUUCAUAUACUUCAGAAUACUCAUCCAAAAAUUACCACAAUUUAUCAGAUCAUGUAAAACUCUGUUAUAUACAACUUUUGUAUUGUAAGGUUUUGCAUCAGAGAUCUGCAAGAUGGUAUAAUUAACCAUAGAACACAACUGAAUAUUUCUGACCUUCAAAACAGAACAUCAAACUUCAAAAAUUCAUAACAGGAGAUAUACUUAUUCAAAAGUUACAAACUUUACCAAUCUAGAAAGGUUAACAAAAAUCCUAAAACCUUUGUUAAUAAUUAAAGACCUAAUUAUUUAAUUAACAGGGUCAAAAACUGCUUAGAUCCAAAACUGUCCAGAUUUUCGUCACUGGAAACCAGUCAGAUUGAAAACUCGAUAUCUCACAAAUUAUAACAGCUAUGACAGAGUUCUUGGCGUCCAAAGAAAGAUAUUGAAGUCCUCUACAACUUUGUCCACAUACCCAAAAAUUAUUAAAGAAUAUAAAAUGCCCUAACAUUACGAUGAACACGGACAGCUCAGUCUGACGAGAAUUUCAGAACACGAACGUAAAUGACUUCGAGAAUUUCUCCACUAAACCCAAUCCCAAAUAAGCGAUUUAAUCCGCAAAACUUGAUCAGAUGAAGGGGAUUAAUAUUUGGCUUCUCACCUAGAGAACUACAGCGAGCACGACGCCGAAACUCCCGGCGUCUACUCCUUCUUCUCCGCCUCUUCACCUUUCCAUCAUCUCCGAUCCAACUCGCCACGAUCCUUGCCGCCACAAAAGCCUUGUUUUUCCGAUCUACGCCAUACAUGGCUAAGCCUCAUGGACAGCAAAAGGGACAUGGUGGAUCAAUGGAACAGCCAAGAUACAAGGUAGAACCUAACUGUAUUUUCCACGAGAGGAAGAACGACCACCACGAUGACCGACGACGGCGGCGGCGGCUACGGCGGCGGCAAAACCCUAGGCCCUAUUCUCCCCUUCCCUCUUCUCCUUUCUCUUUUCACCCCCCUCCUCUUUUUUAUCGUGAAUAUGAAAAGCUAUGGAUGGCACCUAAAGGCUUUGCGAGGGGAUAUAAAAGGCCACCACGGAACUGUAGGGACGCGUAGCGUCACUCUACAGUAACAUGUUCCUGUUUAUUUUUUUUUAAAUUUUGAAAUGUAUAUAUUCAUGACCCAAAUUCCAAACAAUGCAUAUGAGUAGUGCAACUUAAAGCAUUCGACGAGCUCUACGCAUCUAAAAUCUCUGAUCAUUCAUUUGAGUGAUGGAUAAAAAAAUUAUUAUUAUUAUUAUUAUUUUACCACUUACACUUCUAACACAAUAACUAUAUUCAAGGUGUUACAUUCUACCUCCCUUAAAAGAAUUCGUCCCCGAAUUCCUCCACUUAUAAGCAAACAAAAAGUAUAAGACUCCUCUCAAAUGGCUACACUUGUAACAUGGCCAAGAUCUCAUAGUAUGAAGCAAGGAACUACUACUGAGAGGACUUUUGAUCUAGAUACCCAGUAAAAAGCACUUCAAACAAAAACACAAACACCAACGAAUGACACUCAUAUAUAUAUGCACUGGGACACUCAAGUCAGUAAUUUUGAUCAUCUAUGAACAAUCAAUGCUUGAACUCAAACUCAAGGUCUUAGUAAGAACAUUCUAAUAGCAUAUGGGUUAUAAAAAAAAAAUCUAAGGCCACACUUUCAUACUUUGAUGGCUCUUCAUACAGCAGCAAAACAUACAUGUAAAAAAAAUAGAAAAAAUUCCACCAAAGUUAUCAAACUUCCCUACAAUGACAAAGAACAUGAUGACAAAAUGCCACCUUAACAAACACAUAGCCUAUUUCUAAGACAAGCUGAAAGUGGCCCAAAAAAAAUUGUCUUAUACAGAACGUUUGUUCUAUAGAUACUUUCAGUAAAAAUCAUCAAGAUUUUCUAGUUAAGGUAGUAACAUCGAACACAGAAUUUGACAUCAGAAAUCACAAACUCAAUUCAAAAGCAUAAAACUAAAUUUAUAUUUCAGAUAUGACACUGAACCAUACACCAUUGGAAAGAUACUAAAAAACACUACAACUUUGGUAUUCAUUAUAAAGACUGGUUUGACCUUUAGCAUUGACAAAAACUGGAUCAAUCUAUUACUAUCCAGAAUAACAUGGAAACGACAACAACUAUAGUAAAAAAAAAAAAUCUCAAACCACAUAGCCUAAAAUCAUAAAAUUUCACAGAUGGUUAAAGGAAAUAUAUUUAAAUUUGGUGUUCAAUGGUUUGGCCAAUUCGGCCUGUAACAAAAAUAAAAAUGGCGAUGAACACAGACUACACAACCUCAUAAAUUCUCAGGAUGUGGACAUGAUCACUUAUGAGAACUACCCCAUCUAAUCUAACAAAAAAAACCAGGGUAUAAAUCUAAUCAAAAGCAAGGGGGUUAAAUAAGAUUCAUCUCACCUAGAUUACGCUAUAAAAAAAAACUUAGGGUUUGUGCAAUCCCUUUUUUCUCAUUCACUUGUCUUUCUUAUUUUCUCUAUCAUUCCUCCCUUCUCUGGUUAGUCAAUGGCAGCAGCAGACAACAUGAAUCCAAAGUCUUAGAAAAAGAAAUGGGAGUCCUAGGCGGAUUAGGGGCAAGGAAAAAUGGAAAAGAAGAGACAUAGGUGAAAAGUCGCCAGAAACGCUCGCAAUACGGCCAACUAUGUUACAGUAGCACGAUUUAUUGAUGGUCUACUAUAUAUUUACCUUCCAUAAAUCCUGUAUCAGCCCUAGUUGAGCAAAUCAAUCUCCAAACAACGCGUGAAGUCGAACAGAAAGAGUUCAUCGAGCUCUACGCAACUAUGGUCUCUAAUCAUCCAUCCGGGCAUUGGAUAUUUUUUUUUUCAACUCAAAAAAACACUCAUUGGACCAUUUACCACUUUGUGCUUCUUAACAUACACUAAAAAGAAUUCGUCCAUGAAUUCUAGAACAACACUAAACACAGACAACAUAUGUAUGACCUACAAAGAUAAAUACCACACAAGUAAAAAAAUGACUUGCAAACCCAAGAAGCCAUCUACAAGGACUAAUUCAACCAAAUCAUGUAAGUAAGUUGAAGAUGACAUAUUAAGCAUCCACAUAAAGAAUUAGAUCAGGUCAAUCAAACAAUAGCCACGGCUAAGGAAUGAAGUGAGACAACGUCACAUUUUUUAAAGAACAUGAACAUCAUGUUAAGAAUAAACGCUUAUUGAAACAUGAAUACUAAUUUAACCAACUCUUCUAGAUAUCUAUUCAUGCACUAGCAACAAAUAUGACUUCUAGAGUUCAGGCACUUCUCUGCUUAGUAAACCCAAAUCCUACUCAAAAUAAAAACGACAACUUUAAAGCAACUUAUAAUAAAGUAGUCAUGACCUAGAACACAGUAAAAUCAUGUCUUCAAGCAAACACUUCACCCAAGCAUUACAAAGGGUAAGCUCACAUAUUUGGACACUAGAAAUUAAUUAGAUAACUAGCAUGCACUCGACAAAAAAACACAUGAUUGCAUAUAACGCUCAAACCACUUGUAACUCUUAAUAUGCACUUCUAUCACUGAAUCACUAUGACCUGUGUAAGGUUACAACUGCACCACGGGAUAAUCCUACACCAUUCUAGGCUUAGGUUUAAACAUCACAACACGAACAUAUAGGACAAGUCACACAACGUCCCACCAAUCAAUAUGUCGGGAGAGAAUAGUUAGAGUGCACGGCAUGGGGGCCAAUCCACCCGUCACUUCACUAUUUUCUUCGAAUACAAAUAGUUGGGUCGCUACCUAUCUCUCAGGAAAUCCUCACAUAGUAGUGCAGAAAAAGCAUUGUGGGGCCCCUCCACUCCGCCCAUCUGCACUACUAAACUAUAGCUACUCUACGGGGUUCCAAGAUCUUUUGCUAUCAACAAAAACAUAAAGAACAUUCAUCAUCUUCGCUACUGAAGCACAUAAAACUACAAUACUUUAAAGGUACACUUAUGCAAAACAUUAUAGCGACAAAACUUGUCAAGUUUGUACUUGUAAGAAUAACUAAUAUGCACUAGAUCAUAUUUAAAUAUAUACAACAUAUGGCAACAACAAAUAAAAAUUAUGUAAACAAAGCCAAUAAAAUUUACACAUGACUCAAAGUUAACAAUAGCAAUGAUAUGUAACAUACGCAUAAGGAUACUUAAGAAAAACAAACACCUCAGUAUCAAAAGGCAUGCCUAACAUAUAAAUCCAUACCCAACCUACAUGUGCAAGUGUGUCAUUUUAAAUCUUACUUUUUCCGAGAAUCUAAUGCCUGCUUUGGUACCAACUGUAACACCCCGAAAAUCACAUAUACACCGGGAUGCUACUAGACUACACAAAUAACAGCUGCACACAACCAAUAAACAAUUUGGCAGCAUCUUCUUUGUAUUUAUAGCAAGCGGAAGAAUAAAAUAUAAAAAAAUACUGAAAUACCAAACUAGGAUUAAUGAACAUCCUAACGCAAAAAAAGUUACUUCAACAAGAAUUAAGUUUAACACCCACACUUUAACAACCGCCUUCAAAACCAAUAAGCAAACCAAAUUAUUAUUUAUUAAAACAUAAGGUCUCUAAAUGAAUAAGUGUGUGACGUGCAGCUAAUUCCCUUCCCUUCCAAGUGAGCAUCAAGUACCUGGGUUGAGUAAAGCAAGGGUGAGAUGAAACAUCUCAGCAAGCGAACUUGUUUUGACAAGCUAUUUAAACCACAAUUUGAAUUAACAUCAAUUUAAUAUGGUGUUCCCAAUUGACAUAAUAUCAUACUAAAGUAACAGUCUUCCAAUUUGGAACAUAGCCAAUAAUACAGAGCUUCAUAAUAACGUGGAUAAAAUCCCUUCAAUAACAUACUUCUCAUGAAUGCAUAUGAAUGCAAUGCAUAUGUCUCCUGCCUGCACACCCAACAAGGUGUGGAGCUGCAUCCCAUGAUGCGUACCGGUACAGUCAUGACCAUAGGUCAAGACAUAACUUCCAAUGCCAAUGAUGCAAUGCACUUGGCAUGUUGUAAUAAAAUUAAUAAAUCACCAAUGAUACUCCGACUUCAAAUUCAGGUUUGUGGGCUAGCCACAAAUAACAAUAUAAAAUAAUACCAUCACCAUAAAUACUUAAAUAAGACCACAAUUUAACUAAGACUAAAUAUACCAAAAUCAUAAAUUUUAGAUAUGAGAGGGAUGACAUUCUUAUAGACAAUAAACUGUAGGUGAUAAAAAUAACAAGCCAAAACGGUAGCAAACCACCGCUACAUUCACUUGCCUCUUUACCGAAGGAGAACAAAAGCACUAGCGAUGUUCCGAAGUGCUACCACCUGAUCACAAAUACUACUCAGUACAUACACCAACAUACAA